UCAGGUUAAUAUAAACAAUUGUCUUUUAUUUACAAAGAUUUCUACUUCGAAUGUUUGUUCUUUUCUGUCAGUGUUUUCUUCAAUUUUCUCUGUUCUCUCUCUUGUUAUAAUUUUUGUUUUUCUUAGGAUUUUUUCAAAUUUUUUCAGGGUUUUGUACAGCGCGCUGGUCUGUCUGUUCAUGUUGUUGUUUCUGGUUUGUCUGUUCAUGUUGUUGUUUAUCUGUGAUUUCUUGUGUGUUUUUUGGGGGGGUUUUGAUUUAUUUAUGUGGUAGCAAAGGAAGAGGCUGAACAAAGGAAGCGACAGCUGAUGGACGCAACAUUCUUCUUCCAGAUAAGAUUCUCAGAAAAACGCUGAAGUCAAGUUGUGAAAUGCCGAGUGACAAUUAAGAGAAUUUGUAGCUAUCAGAAUUGUCCGUGGGUUGAUAUAAUACAAAGAAGCUGAAAUCAUCGAAGUUGAUGCACUUGGUGUUGUUGGCAAGAUGAGGAAAAAAGAGACCCGGGUUACAUGAAAUUCAAGUAGAUGGUGAUGGCUCACAACCCUUCCCGGUGACCUCAAUGCAAAAUAUUGAAUCUUGCUGCAAAUUAUUACCAGCUUGCCGCUCUUGGAACAGGCAGGUUGCCAACAAGGAUCUCACUCAGCUAGUUAUUUUUCACCAUUAUGGAAGGAUCUAGUAUAUAGGAGUGAAGUUGCUGGUAUGGAUUCAAAGCAGCAAGAGAUGUAAUUGGUCACUUUCCAUUUCUUUUGUAAUAUUUUGAUCAAUUACAUUGAUCUAGCUUUGUAAAAUGUAAAAAAUACAAUAUCUAAUAAAAGAAAGUUAUUGAAAGGGGUUAAAAACCCCUUUCAAAGACUGAAGGGAAUGGUCAUUGGCCUUGGCCAUUCCUUAAAGUCGCUUAUUUUUUU